rnacentral:tRNA from 1 species
GCCUGGCUGGCUCAUUCAAUAGAGCAGGAGACUCUUGAUCUCGGGGUCGUGGGUACAAGCCCCACGCUCAGUG